rnacentral:rRNA from 1 species
UACGUAGGGUGCAAGCGUUGUCCGGAAUUAUUGGGCGUAAAGAGUUCGUAGGCGGCGCAGAAAGUAGGGUGUGAAAGCCCUCGGCUCAACCGAGGAAUUGCGCUCUAAACUACUGUGCUCGAGGAAUCUAGAGGUGAGCGGAACUGAUGGUGGAGCGGUGAAAUGCGUUGAUAUCAUCAGGAACACCGGUGGCGAAGGCGGCUCUCUGGACCGACACUGACGCUGAGGCGCGAAAGCGUGGGGAGCAAACAGG